rnacentral:rRNA from 1 species
GAUGAACGCUGGCGGCGUGCCUAAUACAUGCAAGUAGAACGCUGAAGGAGGAGCUUGCUCUUCUGGAUGAGUGGCGAACGGGUGAGUAACGCGUAGGUAACCUGCCUUGUAGCUGGGGAUAACUAUUGGAAACGAUAGCUAAUACCGCAUGACAACAGUUAUUGCAUGAUAACUGUUUAAAAGGGGCAACUGCUCCACUACCAGAUGGACCUGCGUUGUAUUAGCUAGUUGGUGAGGUAACGGAUCACCAAGGCGACGAUACAUAGCGGACAGGAGAGGGGGGGCAGCCGCACUGAGAGGGUGACCCGGCCCAUAGUCCUUCGGGAGCCGGCCGUAGUGCAUCUGCGGCAAUCGGUGGGAGUCUGUGCGAGCAAGGCCGCGUGAGUGAGGAAGGUUUUCGCAUCGUAAAGGUCUGUUGUAAGAGAAGAACGCGUGUGAGAGUGGAAAGUUCACUCUGUGACGGUAUCUUACCAGAAAGCGACGGCUAACUACGUG